rnacentral:rRNA from 1 species
UGGGGAAUAUUGGACAAUGGGCGCAAGCCUGAUCCAGCAAUGCCGCGUGUGUGAAGAAGGCCCUCGGGUUGUAAAGCACUUUUAUCAGGAGCGAAAUCUGCAAGGUUAAUACCUUUGCAGUCUGACGGUACCUGAGGAAUAAGCACCGGCUAACUCCGUGCCAGCAGCCGCGGUAAUACGGAGGGUGCAAGCGUUAAUCGGAAUUACUGGGCGUAAAGCGUGCGUAGGCGGUUCGUUAAGUCUGUUGUGAAAGCCCCGGGCUCAACCUGGGAAUGGCAAUGGAUACUGGCGAGCUAGAGUGUGUCAGAGGAUGGUGGAAUUCCCGGUGUAGCGGUGAAAUGCGUAGAGAUCGGGAGGAACAUCAGUGGCGAAGGCGGCCAUCUGGGACAACACUGACGCUGAGGCACGAAAGCGUGGGGAGCAAACA